GAACGCUGGCGGCAGCCUACACAUGCAAGUCGAACGGUAACAUUUCUAGCUUGCUAGAAGAUGACGAGUGGCGGACGGGUGAGUAAUGCUUGGGAACUUGCCUUUGCGAGGGGGAUAACAGUUGGAAACGACUGCUAAUACCGCAUAAUGUCUUCGGACCAAACGGGGCUUAGGCUCCGGCGCAAAGAGAGGCCCAAGUGAGAUUAGCUAGUUGGUAAGGUAACGGCUUACCAAGGCGACGAUCUCUAGCUGUUCUGAGAGGAAGAUCAGCCACACUGGGACUGAGACACGGCCCAGACUCCUACGGGAGGCAGCAGUGGGGAAUAUUGCACAAUGGGGGAAACCCUGAUGCAGCCAUGCCGCGUGUGUGAAGAAGGCCUUCGGGUUGUAAAGCACUUUCAGUUGUGAGGAAAAGUUAGUAGUUAAUACCUGCUAGCCGUGACGUUNACAACAGAAGAAGCACCGGCUAACUCCGUGCCAGCAGCCGCGGUAAUACGGAGGGUGCGAGCGUUAAUCGGAAUUACUGGGCGUAAAGCGCACGC
rnacentral:rRNA from 1 species